CUGCGGCAGCCAGGGUGGGGCCCAGAGGGAACCUGGCCCCUCCCGCCCCCACCUCGCCUUUGGGUCGAUGGAGCUGUCCAGCCCAGGAGCACCCACCCUUCCCUCCUACCCUGGGAGACCCCAAGAGCCCAACACGGACCAAACGGGGAUUGAAAGUCCACAAGCUGAGGGAUGGGGGCAGCAGGGAGGAUGAUAAUUACAUGAGAAAAUAAAGUGAAAACUCCCAGGCUGUGGUGAGGGUCCCGGAGCCAGCACCACGGA
rnacentral:lncRNA from 1 species